rnacentral:rRNA from 1 species
AUUGAACGCUGGCGGCAUGCCUUACACAUGCAAGUCGAACGGCAGCACGGGAGCAAUCCUGGUGGCGAGUGGCGAACGGGUGAGUAAAGUAUCGGAACGUGCCCAGUCGUGGGGGAUAACGUAGCGAAAGAUACGCUAAUACCGCAUACGAUCUAUGAAUGAAAGCGGGGGAUCGCAAGACCUCGCGCGAUUGGAGCGGCCGAUAUCAGAUUAGGUAGUUGGUGGGGUAAAGGCUCACCAAGCCGACGAUCUGUAGCUGGUCUGAGAGGACGACCAGCCACACUGGGACUGAGACACGGCCCUGACUCCUACGGGAGGCAGCAGUGGGGAAUUUUGGACAAUGGGCGAAAGCCUGAUCCAGCCAUGCCGCGUGCAGGAUGAGGGCCUUCGGGUUGUAAACUGCUUUUGUACGGAACGAAAAGGUUUGGCCUAAUAAGCUGAGCUCAUGACGGUACCGUAAGAAUAAGCACCGGCUAACUACGUGCCAGCCGCCGCAGUAA